rnacentral:lncRNA from 1 species
CCUUUCACGGCUGCUCCUUGCGCUGCUGGGGGAGGUUGCUGAGGUAUGGGGAAGAGGUACGCCGUCGCUAAGCAACAAGAGGCUGUGCACCUGGAGGUCCUAGGAGGAGACCCUGGCACCAUCGGUAUGGGGGAGGCAGGGAGACAGUAAAGGGUUGACCAAGCUCAAGGCUCCCUCUCCCAUCCUCCCCAAGACAGUUACAGAGGAGGGAUGUACCCAUCCUUCAAGAAGCCUGUUGAAUUAGCUCACAAUCCUCCGGAAGGCUGCGAUUAUGCAUGCAAACCUGUGUGACAUUCCAUAGACUGAGAGUUGGAGAGGGCAGGGGCUAGGGCAUGAAAGACAAGGGUGAGCAACUUUCACACCAAUCUUGGAGGAAGGUCGAGGACUUGCCUGUCUGCUAAAAGGUAGGAACUUCCAUGGAAGUGCAAAGGUCUGAGGGCGGAAACUUAGUAGGGAGGAGACAGAAUGGGAAGGGAAGCCGGUUGGACCCUGGGCCAGCCUCCCAGUCACAGAGGCUACCAAGGAGCCUACACAGAAGGGAGGUGGCAGGGCAGCAGGGGCCCCACACCCAUCAGCCAUCUGCUGGAAUUCUCAGUGUCUUCAAAGCUGAAGUGCUGCACUGUAUGCCAUUAUUUUUCUUCUCUUUUAUUAUUGUUUUUUGGUGGACUAGAGUUUGAACGAGGUAACGAUCAAGAGGGAAAGACUCGUCCAUUGACCCUGUCACCCGCCUCACUGCAUCUCUAACAGGCCCGUAGGCCUGUAAACGUGAGGAGCAGCUCAGGCUUGACAGAGGGCCAUUGCCUCCCUUUUUCUGUCACUUCCUCCAUUGCCUCAACCCCUAUCCAGAAGAGCGCACCUUCAUUCAACAAGCAUGGAUCAAGCACUCGUGACGUGCCAGCCAGGGUGCUGGGGAAGUGAUGAGGGGUGGGUUCCGUGGUGGCCGACACCCAGCCCCUCCUCCACAAUGCCCGUCUCCUUGAUGGCAGGCUCUCGUUCUCCCAUCAGAUGCUACACUCACACAUGCUGCACAUACUGGUGAAUAGCUUCUUGCAGUCCAUCCUGGCACGGUCCCCAAAUUCCGCAGGGAACAGGGUGUGCUUCAGCCCUCUCCCUCUCUCACUAAGGGCUAGGAAGUUUUGAGUCUUCCGUCUCACACACCGCAGAGGCUGCAUUGCCGAGAAGACACAGGGGCAAUGUGAGGCCUUCUUAUUCCCGACCCACGAGAAAGAUGCCAAGUUGGGGACAAGAAGGGUACAGGCUUGUUUUGCUUUCAUUCCUGCUUUAUGUCAGGCACUCUGAAAGGCAUUGUGUACACUGUUUUCAUCGUCAGACAAUAGCCCAUAAUACUUUGUCUGACAUCUGACAAAGAAUGAUCAGCCUUAUUUUAGAGAUGGUGAAACUAAAGGAGCAUGUUCAUGUUCAUACAGCACAAAGUGGCUCUGGGAUUUCAACCCAUAUAGUACCGUUAGGAUAAUACCCUCACAAAUUCAAUGUUGAAAGUGCUAAUGAAGGCCGGGUGUGGUGCCUCAUGCCUGUAAUCCCAGCACUUUGGGAGGCCAAGGCGGGCAGAUCACCUGAGGUCAAGAGUUUGAGACCAGCCUGACCAACAUGGAGAAACUCCGUCUCUACUAAAAAUACAAAAUUAUCUGGGCGUGGUGGCACAUGCCUGUAGUCCCAGCUACUUGGGAGGCUGAGGCAGGAGAAUUGCUUGAACCCGGGAGGCAGAGGUUGCAGUGAGCCAAGAUUGCGCCACUGCACUCCAGCCUGGGCAACAGAGCGAGACUCCAUCUCAAUAAAUAAAUAAAUAAAUAAAUAAA